AUGGCUGUCGUCAGCUCGUGCCGUGAGGUGUUGGGUUAAGUCCCGCAACGAGCGCAACCCCUAUUCUUAGUUGCCAGCACAUAAUGGUGGGGACUCUAGGAAGACUGCCUGCGCAAGCAGAGAGGAAGGAGGGGACGACGUCAAGUCAUCAUGGCCCUUACGUCCAGGGCUACACACGUGCUACAAUGGCAUAUACAGAGGGUCGCUACACGGUAACGUGAUGCCAAUCUCAAAAAGUAUGUCCCAGUUCGGAUUGAGGUCUGCAACUCGACCUCAUGAAGCUGGAAUCGCUAGUAAUCGCGCAUCAGCAAUGGCGCGGUGAAUACGUUCCCGGACCUUGUACACACCGCCCGUGGGGCGGGGGCGGCGGGCCGGGCGCGGGGCGCGGCGGGCG
rnacentral:rRNA from 1 species